GCACCCACAACAUCAUUGUAUCAUCUCAUCACCACCACAACCACUACCACAAUAACACCAAAAAUACCAACACCAAUAAUUGUCACUGCUGUAGAUGACACCAAUUGCUGCUGCACAACGACGUCGCUUUUCGACACUAGACGGCACCAUCUUCGCUUCGCAGCAGUUCCAAUUUUUGACGAGAUCUAACGGAUCUGAAGGAUUGGCGUC
rnacentral:lncRNA from 1 species